GGAGUCUCAGUUCCAAUAUGGCUGAAGAUCCCGGGGGAGUGACUUUUAUUCACUCAAUCACUUUCUCUUUUUUUUCCCUUUCUCCUGCCGGUUCCGCAACAUGGAAGAACUCUCGAUAACGUGUUUUGGUCUCGUGUUGCCGUCGCCAUGCCAAAGAAAGGGAACAGAAAACGGCUGAAAUACCGCGGAAACAUUUCUUCUGAAACAGUUACUGUGGCAGAUUAUGCCGAUUCAGAUCCAGCUAUCGUGAAGACUGGUAGAAUAAAGAAAGCUGUAGCAAAUGCAAUUCAGAAAGAAGUAAAGUUACUGUGCGGUUUGGAAGCUUCCCAAGUUCCUGUGACAGAAGAAGCUCUUUCCUCUGUUUCUGUGGAUCGAUUGGACUGUGACAGCAGUGAUGAAGUAGAUCUGGAUGGCCACUCAAAUGAGUUGAAGGUUUCUAGGAAGAAGAAAAGCAAAAGACAGCAAGAGAAUGCUGAGGACUGUGGGCAGCAGUACCCUAUAGAUAUUUGGUUAUUUCUGGCCUCCUACAUACGACCUGAGGAUGUUGCCAAGUUUGCUCUAAUUUGUAAAAAUGCUUGGACUGUUACCUGUACUGCUGCUUUUUGGACCAGGUUAUACAGAAGGCACUAUUGUUCGGAUGUUUACUUGCCUGUACGUUUGCAACGCGAGGUCAUAGGAAAGUUGGGUUCACUGCGUGCCUGUGUGAUCCGUUCACUGUACCACAUGUACGAACCAUUUCGUCUGCGCAUAUCAGAAAAACCAGCAAUUCCUGAGUCAACUCCAAAUACGUUACAGAACUGUAGUUGCUUGCUGUACUGGUGCAAGAAGGGGACUGGAAAUAGAUCAGACCAAAGAUGGGAAUUCAACUACAAAUUCAAAAAACAGUCUCCCAAGUUGAAGAAUGGCUCUCGAAAUGGGCUUCAGUUUCCAAGACAGUAUGAAGAGGUACACAUGAAUCCUGACCAAGACUGCUAUUUGCUGCAGAUCACCACUCUCAAUUUCAUCUUCACGCCAGUGGUUAUGGGAAUGACUCUAGCAUUGUUUACAAUAAGUGUAAGCACUGAUAUGAGGCACCACCGUGUCAGGAUGGUGUUCCAAGAUUCUCCACUUCCACAUGGAAAGAAACCAAAAAAGGACCAAGGACUCCAAGUUGUCUUGGACCCUGUGCAUAGCGUGCGCUUACUGGACUGGUGGCAUCCACAGUUUCCCUUUUCUGCCAGUAUUUAGUGUUGUUUCACAACAUCAUAUGAAACUGCUGUCACAAAUUGGGUUUUGAAAAGUGCUUUGCAUGAUAGACAUGAAAAGGUCGGUUAGUACAGUUGGCUGGACAGCUGGUUUGUAAUGCAGAGCGAUGACAGCAGCAUGGGUUCACUUCCCGCACUGGCCAAGGUUACCCUGAAGGACACUCCUCAACUUCUCCCCUGAGGCCUAGCGAUUGUUGGGUUUAACCACCACCAGUCAUUUCUCUCCAAUGAGAGAGCAACCUCUGUCUGCAAACAUUGUGGCCUUCUUAAUAUUCUGGCAAAGGAACUGCAUGCUUUCCAAAUCGAGCACUUAUUACCUGAUGGCAAUUUCAGUUGCAGACACCCUGGUGCUUAUUUUUAUUGUAAUAAUUGAGUUAGUCCUCAAGUUUCACAUCCUUGAACCAUUCUGGGCAAGGGAUCCUUGGUGUACUAUCAGGGACAUUUUUAAUUAUGGUGCAUACAACGCUUCUGUCUGGCUUGUAGUUACCUUCACAGUUGAACGUUUCAUCGCUAUAAGUACUUUCAGACUCAAAACUAAGUUAUGUACGGCACGAUGUGCCAUCAUGGUUAUAAGUCUCACUUUCAUCUUAAGUUAUUUGCUGGCUGUGCCUUAUUUUUGGUCAAAUCACUCUCAAGCUAGACCGAUUUCUAACAAUGUUACCGAAAGCCUUGAAAUUCUAUACAUAUGUGUUUACAAACGAAAUAUCUCAUAUUUGUUUGUUCAUGGUCUGGUGUGGUUUCAAACAAUUUUUGAUUAUAUUGUACCAUUCGUAAUUAUUUUCACACUGAAUGGUUUGACACUUAGGUUAAUUAUGCAGAGCAAUAAGGUGCACCAGUCCUGUGAAGUGAAGGGGAAGGACAAUUCAGCAGGUUCUCUUUAUUUCAGGGCUCAGAAAAGGAAAUCUAUUGUCCUCCUGAUCACAGUCUCAAUGAGUUUUGCACUGUUAUGUGCCACAAGACUCGUCACACAGCUUAUCCUUCGUAUAACAUACUAUGAUAUUGACCGGAUGGACUAUUCACAAACCAUCAAUGUCGUUGCUGAUAUUGGGUCUAUGCUUGACUUGACCAACAUGGCUAUCAAUAUGUACCUAUAUGCAUGUACACAACCUAAAUUCCGGAAGGAGCUGCUGUACUGUGUAAAUGCCAUGCUGUGCCCUUGUAAACACUGCAAACGAUUUCAUGCAGACUCCACAGCGGUUAUCUUCCAGCUGUGAUGCUAUGGACAAGGUCUUGGAAAGUGUAAAAUAUUCCAGGUGGAAUACUGCAAGUUCCAAUUAUCCUUUAUCUCAACUACCUGGUGAAUACAAAGCAGGUGCAAAGCAGUGCAUUUGCUUCAUUGUAUUAUUAAAGCAAUAUAAAUGUGAGCCCCGCACUUCGGCAUCUGUAAGGUUGUGGUUUGGGAUGUUGGAUUCAUACAAAGCAUAUUGAAGGGCUUUUGUACUGUGGCAGUACAAUCUACAGGGUACAAGCCUGUACUUUGCACAAUCCACUUCUAACUAGGGUUGGUCAUGGUGAUCAGAUGUAGGAAUUUGAGCUGUUUGUUUUCUUCCUCAGCAGUGCUAAGCAGAAAUGUAACACUUCUAGGGGUAUCUAUUUGGAAUCUAACACAGUACACGUUGGUGAUUGGUUGGGAUCAUUCAGCUGCUCACUAGGUGAACUUGAGUCAUUAUCACAGUGAAGGGGGAGGCAAUUUAGCUCAUCACAUCCAUGUUGACACAAACAGUGGAAUUGCUGGAGAAAUUUAGUAAUCCUGUCAGCAUUUGUAGAGAGAGAAACAGAGAUGUGUCUCUGUUCUGAAGAAAGAGUCAUACUGAGCUAAAAAUUUAACUCUGUUUCUCUCUCCACAGACUUGCUGUGUUUCUCCAACAAUUUUUGUUUUUGUUUCAGAUGUCCAGCAUCCAGAGUAUUCAAACCCAAGCUAGCUGUCUGUCUACAGAGCAAUCCGGUCAGUCCCAUUCCCCCAUUUCCCCCAGAGCCAUGCAAGUUUAUUUCCCUCAAGUGACCAACUGCUUUCCCUUUGAAAUCAUUGAUCAUUGCUGUUUCCAUCCCCUUUCUUUUUUAUUUUGUAAAAUAGUUCUUCCUCACGUCACCACUGCACACAACAACCUUAAGUCUGUGUCUCCUCAUAUGGUCAGCUAGUGGGAAUCACCUUUCUCUGUUGACCACAUCGAAAUCUGUCAACAUCUUCUACGCUUCGAUGAAAUUUUCAUUCAGUCUUCUUUUCUACAUGGAGAAAAAUGGCAGCUUGUCUAGCCUUACUUUCUAGCCAAGAUCCCUGAUCUAUCUAAAAAUUCCAGUAAAUCUCCUUUUGCAUUUUCCCUUCCUAACGUGUGGUGACCAGAACUGGAUGCAGUAGUAGUUGUAGCCUAACCACAGUUUUAUAAAAAACUUCAGCAUAACUUCCCUCCUUUUAUAAUCAAUAUCCCAAUUAGGGAAGCUGAAGAUCCCACUUACUUUGCUCAUUAGUGGCUCAAUAUAUCCUGACACCUUCGAUGGUUGGUGCACACUACAUCCAAAUCCCUCUGCUAGUCUGCCUUUUAGGUCAAUUAAAAGCAUUCUCACUAUAGAGACAUAGUCAUGCAGCAUGGCAACGGACCCUUCAGUCCAACUCGUCCAUGCUGAUCAAGUUUCCCAAGCUAAACUAGUCCCACUUUAUUUUUUUUUUCAAUAACAGUAUUGGUCCCAGCACUGCCCAUUGGGAAACUGCAAAGUGCUAUAAUCUCCGAUCCCUGGCAUCUCCUCAUUCUCAUCUGCACCCUCACCAGUUUGGAAUCGGAGUGAGAUUGAAAGAUCAUGGCAAGCCCUUCCAUAUUUCUGCUUCCACUUUCUUUAGCAAUCAUUGAUGCAAGCCACCCAGACCAGACAGCUAAUCCACUUUAAGCCAGUUUUUCAGUUCAUCCUGCGUAUCAAUUUUCACCUCACCUGUAGUGGUGGCUCAGUGGUUAGCACUACUGCCUCGUAGUGCCAGGGACCCAGAUUCAAUUCUCGUCUCAUGCAGCUGUCUGUGUGGAGUUUGCACAUUCUCCCCAUGUCUGCAUGGAUUUCGUCUGGGUGCUCCAGUUUCCUCCAGUCCAAAGAUGUGCAGGUUAGAUGGAUUAGCCAUUGGAAUUCCACAGUUAUGGAGCAGGAUGGUGGGUUGGGACAGUGUGGACACGAUUGGCCAAAUGGCCUGCUUCUACACUGAAGGGCUUCUAUGAUUUUCAGUACCUCUAUUGCAGGGCUUCUUAAACAUUUUUCCUGGUGUAACUCAGUUUUCGUGUUGUGAUAGUUGAUUAAAUACAAUGUGGGGCAAAUUGCUGCAGAUGCUGGAAUAAACUGCCCAAUGCCUUCCACUACAAAGCCACUGACUCCCAAACCUACCUUCACUGCAGCUGUUUCCACUACAUGUCCUGCAAGGACUCCAUCCCAUUCUCCCAGCUCCUUCGCCUGUGUCACUUCUGUUUCAAUGCUUUCAUGUGGCUUGCUUCUUCCAGGACUGUGGUUGCCUGCCCACUGCGGUUGACAGGGCCCUUGACCACAUCUGACCUAUCACCCAUGCCCUUUCCCAUCACUCGCAACUGUGUGAUCGAACCCCCAUUGUCUUCACUUUUCAUCCCACCAGCCUGCGCGUUCAAAGGAUCGUUCUCUGCCAUUUCAGACAACUCCAGCAGAAUGCCAGCACCAAAGACAUCUUCCCCUCUUUCCCACCAUCUGUGUUUCCCAGGGAUUUUUCCCUCUGGAAUGCCCUAGUCCAUUCAUUGAUCACUUACACCACCACCACCAACCCCCCUGCUUUCCCAGGGCACCUUUCCGUGUAACUGCAGAAGGUGUAACACAUGCCCCUUCACCAAAGAACAAGGAACAAAGAAAACUACAGCAUAGGAACAGGCCCUUUGGCCCUCCAAGUCUGCGUCAAUCCAGAUCCUCAAUCUAAACCUGUCACUUAUUUUCCAAGGAUCUGUAUCCCUCUGCUCCCUGCCUAUUCAUGUGUCUGUUUUGGUAUAUCUUAAAUGACGCUAUCGUGCCCGCCCCUGCUUCCUGCUUGCAUACCCAUUUGUCUGUCCUCAGCAUGCUGCGGUGUUCCAGUGAAUCACAGAGUAAAUUGGAGGAACAACAUCUUGUCUUCGGAGUCAUCUAAACUUGAAACGAUUAGCUUGCAUUCUCGCCCUGGAUGCUGCCUGACCUGCUAUGAUCUCCAGCGGUGGGGUUUUCAUGUUGUGAUAGCUGGGUUGAAUAUUUGGGUGAACUGUGUUGUUGAGUGGUGGUGCAGGGAACCCUUACUUGCUCAGUGAAUUGGGGUAGGAUAGCUCCAUAUUCAGCAGAGAGGAGAGUGAAUCUCUUCCCACUUUUACCACCACUCCAUCUUUCCCCUCUGUUCAACAUCCUCCAAAUAUCCCUGUCCUUUCGCCAACUCUCGUAUCCCCCUCCUUAACUUCGAAACCCAACCCUAUACCUCGUCAACCCCACAUAUUCCCCUCCCUCGUUCCCAUUCCCCCCUCCCCCACCAGAUCCCCCUUCCAUCACACACACUCUUUCCAUUUCUUUUGUGGGGCAGAAUGAACACCUAUGUUUUCAUUCAGGCCUUGGUGUGCAAAUGAUUCAGCCAUGCCCGCCAGUAGAAGAAAAGGAGCAUUUUAAAAGGGCCAGGCAACUGUCUGGCCUUGAUGCAAGCCAUUGCUGCUUCAGAGCUCAUGACCUAAGAUCUCACCGUGUGACCCUGCUAGGAGACCGUGUUCCACUGCCUCUGCUCCUACUGAUAUUUGGUCAGAAUUCACUUGCAUAGCUAACAUUGAACACAGUCCUCAUUAACAAUUCUACCUUUCCGCUUAGGCCUUUAAGCAUAUAUGACCCUCUUUGUCUGUAAUAGAACUGCCUCUCCACCACUUGCUUCCAAUCUUAUUUUCCUUCUCAUGUGUUGCAAUUUAGCAUGGUUCUUGCCUGAAGCAUUCAUCUAACUUCAUCAUUCUACCUUUCAUCUAUUUUUCUCUUUUAUUCCACCAUAACCUGUAUCUGCCUCAUCGCUCAAAAAGCUCAGUUUUGAUGCCUUAUUUAUGUCUCUUGUCAGAAUGUGCUUAGACUAGUUGAGCCAUUGUUGGAUAAUUCCAACAAAUACAUACAUCUGGAAAGCAAGAAUCAAUUAGUUGGGCAUUUGUAGGCCUCUAUUUCUUGUUUUAGAAAUUCAAAUCAAUGUGAAAGAAUUUAAACAGGACAAUAUCAUGAAGGUAAGCUUUAUUAUCUUUCAGGGUACAUUUUAACAUUGUAACUCUCAAAUCCAUAUAGGGGUUACAGCUCACACUAUUAAUCCUUAGCACUGAGCACCUAUUGAAAAUUACUUUUGAAAGAUUUCAUAUCCCAGUUAGUUGCUAUAAUAUUACAUACUGUUAUACUGAGCAGUAACAUGUAAAGCUUUAGUGUGUUGAGUAACCAUCCAUAAUAAUUAUAAUUAACAUAUUAAAGAGGUGGCCAAUUUAGGAAUUUUAAUUCAAGAUAUAAUCAUUUCAUUAUGAAAAAUACUAUGGUUAUUGAAGGUACUUUUUCCUAAAUAAACCCAAACAGGAUGCUCAUUUCUACAUUAUUUUUCAAGAUGUAGCAAGCAAAUAAUUUAAAUUAAAAAGGAAUCUUACCUUUAUCUUUAAGUAACUGUCCAUUAGUGCCAUUAUCUUACAUGUGGAUCAGUAAUGAUGCUUUUGUGAGAAUACGGAGUUUGAUAUUAUUUUAACACAUUCAUUCUUAAUGUACAAAUUAAUUUCAUUAUGAAUAUAAGCAUGGAUCACUGUACAUUGUUUGUGUAUAAUCUUGCAUAUGGCAUAAUUCUCCCAAUGUUUUAAUUGGAUUUUGAUUGUCUGAACAGGUUCCUGUGUAAAUUUGAUGGUAUUCUGUAAAGACUGGAUUAGCUGAAAGGCCAUCUUCUCAAAAAUGUGCGAAAUUAUUUUUGUUAGUGGUAACAAUUUAUUGUUUGACAGGAUUUGUAUUAUUCGAGAACAUUCUGUACAAAUGAAGAAUUCCUUACAUCGUGCCUUUCAUCUGUAACCUUUAAUUUUGUACACAAUCAUUCUCUCUAAGUAUUAUGUUUGUGUGUGACUAGAAUAUUAGUGAACAAAUUUGCUGCAAUGAGAUUAAAUACCUUUAU